UUUUCUAGACUUCUUUUGCAUUGUCGAUCUACGUCCAUCGUGCCUUAUCCGCCGAGCUUCUUUCGCCGACGGUUGUCGUGGACUAUGAUUUUCUGCACAAUGCUUUAUUCUCUUGAUGUGCCAUCUUCUUUUGAGAACCCAUCUUCUCUUGAUACUUUUGUUGUAUCUUCAAGUGAUGCGGUGUCUUCCUCUAAUGUGCCAUCACUUCGGUGUCUUCACUUGAUGUGCUAUCUUCUUUUGACAACCCAUCUUCUCUUGAUACUUAUCUUGUAUCUUCAAGUGAUGCGAUGUCUACCUCUGAUGUGCCAUCUCUUCGUUCACUCCUUCGGCAACUCGACAAGUUUUGAAGACUCUUCACGCUACGACGACACUCUCAAGACGCGGAUUUGGAUUAUCAUUUUUUUUUAGUAUUACACCUCUUCAAAUGCAAUGCUAUCGCAUACGCUUUGCAUUUGAGGGGGGGUGUUAGGAAGUAUUAGUAUUAGUCUAGGAGUCCUUAUUAGUCUAUUAGUAUUAGUCUAGGAGUCCUUAUUAGUCUAUGUUUACUUUCCUUGCACCUCAAGUCAUAUGUAAUAUAUAUAUGCCCCUUGGGCCUUUAAUAUAGACAAGUUGCUUUCCUAACAN
rnacentral:lncRNA from 1 species